GACGCCAUUUGCUCUUUGACGCCCACUGCGCCUGACUUCGUGUUUGCCUCGCUGCAGGGUCGCACCUGUGCUGCUCUCGCUCAGGUCCAUCCGUGCUGGGUCCCCUCGUUCAUCUGGCAUGAGUGUGCGCGCACUGCUUUUCUGAUGCCGCCUGGGAUGACGGACUGGUGCCGCUGUUUUUAACAGCUAAAUGACCGCCGCAAUUACUGCUGCUUUGCUUUGCUUUGCUGAAGCUGCUUUGCUGAAGUUGCUUUACUGAACCUGCUUUACUGACCUGCCGUACAGAAAAGUUGCUGGCUUUUCUGCAAUCACUCCGCUUCAAGUGCUACUGUCUGAUCUCGCUGGGCUGCGCUCUGCUUCAAGUGCUACUGUCUCAUACUGCUUGGCUGUGCUUUGGGUGCGCACUAGAGUCGGCGUGUGACUGUGCCCGCUCCGCCUGUUCCCUUUGGCGGUGGUUCGCUCCGGCACUAUGGCCGUCUUCCACCGCUGGGUCGCCUUGUCGUGAAGCUCCUUCCCAGAGGCACUGGUUUAACGUGGACUGACUGUGUGACUAAGGGAUUUAUUUUCUGAUUUUCUUUUGUGUAUAGUUGUUUCCUUUGUAAAUUUAUGUGACUGUUUUGGGGAUUUAUUUUCUGAUUUUCUUGUGUAUAGUUUUCCUUUUUAUGAUUGCUUUGUUUAUUGUUUUCAAUUAUUUGAAUUAAUUUGCAAUUUUGUUCUGUGUAUAUAUUUUGUGUUAAGUUUUUGUUUUGCUUUAUUAGUAUAGGUCAUAUUGAUUUGUGUGCAUCCCCUCUUAAUUUUGGUUCUGUUGUCCUUCAGCAGCUGAGGGCCGACAGUGGACUGAUGUGGUCGGGUGGUGGUGUCCCUCCCUGGCUUGCUGUGCUGUCACCUCCCCAGUUUGAGUGUCCACCUGAAGUGUGUGUGUCGCUGCUGAGCUGUGCACAUGAGUGGGGUGACUCCUCUGGGCUUCCCCACCCUCCGUCCUCCCUGGUCAGUCACACUGGUAGGGCCUCAGCCCCGAAAGGACCUCCUCCCCCCCUUUCUUUUUGAGUUACUUUCUUUUUAUUUUGAAUAGUUUUUUUUUUGCUU